CAAUGAAUGUGUUUGUGAUAAAUAUGAUGUGUAAUAGUUGAGAUAUAGUUAUACUAAUAAUUAUUUCUUGCUCAUUUAAAUUUCAGAUUUAAAUAUUUGUCCUGAAUAUAUCUGUCAGCUCUACUUAGAGUACAUGAGGGCCAUUUGUGAUAGAGAUCCAUAGUGAGGUAGUGUUGGAGCCUGUCCAAGGAGGUUCUGAGAGGGAUAAACAGACUCAGUAGAAACAAGCUGAAAGCACUACUAGACGUCCAUGGGCUGACCCAGGAAUAAACAACUCAUGAGACUUGACCUGCCAUUAUCAUUAACAAAAGAAAGGUUCUACAAGCCAGGGACAUCCAAUACUAUGGAGAGCAAUGGUUGGCUCUCUGGAAAUCCCAUGAAGAUGCUCAGCUUGACUCAACCCGAAGAUACUGAUUAAUGAACAUGUCAUAAUGCACUAAAGUCUUGGAUCUGCAAAAUCACUGUGAUUACCAUAAGAGAUGCAAGAUUCUGCAAGUCUUUGACAGAAGACGAAAAGAAUACCCAACACUGUUUGUUUAUAGAAGUUACAUAACAACAUUAAGAAAAUGGCAUGGGAGAAAUGAAAAAGGAAGAAAGAAAGAAAAAGGAUGAAAUAAAGAAAGACUCAAGUAGUGCAUUGAACUCAAAAGCCCCUGUGCUAGGCUCGGAUAUUUCCUACUCAUGUUGUCAGCCUUCAGUUUCUGGAGGGUGGGAAUUCCAAGUUGAAGUUGCCAGCAGAUCCAGUGUCUGAUGAAGUCUUGCUGUGUGUGCUUCCAGGAUGGAAUCUUGCUGUGUCCUUAAAUGGUGAAAGGACAAGUCAGCUCCUUUCAUCCUUUUUCAGAAGGGCACUAAUCCCGUUAACGAGAAUCCUGUCCCUGUAACUUAAUGACCUCCUAAAAACCUCACUUCUUAAUAAUGUCAUGUUGGUGAUUAAUUUUCAAAAUAAACAUUUCAGGGGACACCUUCAAACUAUAGCACUUGCCCUUUGACUUUUCCCAUCUAUAAAUUCCUUCUUGGUGUUCCU
rnacentral:lncRNA from 1 species